UUGGAGGGUUGGAACUUUCACCACAGCCCUUGACAUCUGAAGAGGGGAGGGGAGAGGAAUUGGAGAUUGAGUCCAAUUACCAACAGCCAAUGAUUUAUUCAAUUGUGCCAGCAUGAUGGAGCCUCCAGAACAACAGGAUUCAGAGAAUUUUCAAGUUGGUAGACUCCAAACUCCACAGAGCUGCUAUGUGAAAUUUGCCUUAUGAAAUAUUUCAGUUAUUCCAAAAGACCAGGACAUAAAUAAAAAUAUCACCUAGACAAAAGGUGGAAACAACCCAACUGCCCAUCAACAGAGGAAGGAAUGAACACACUGCAGUAUAGUCCUAAGGUUCCCAGCAAAGGCCUCAAAUAUUUGUUGCCUGUGAGCAGCUGUAGAUGAAGCUUCCUCCUGUGCCCAUGAAGAAAGUGAAUUGCAUUACCCGGCUCUCAAGUCCCUGGCUUCUGAUAGGUUCUGCAAACGAGGAAGACCGGAAGUAGGAGAUGAACAAAGGAGAAGUAUUUGUUAGCCCACUCCCUCCCUGCCUGGCCACAGUUCAGGCAGUGGCUGUUUCUCUAGCUCAUACAUCCUGCAGGGAGCAACUUCUCCAUGGCUCCAUUCUCAGCAAAGUCUGCUCCGUUGCCAUGUCCCUAAGCUCUGGAUGUUAACAGCUUCCCAUGGCUACUAGUUCUGGGGUGCCUUACUGAAUAACACCUCCCUGCCAAGAUGCCCAUGUCUUAAGCCCUGGAACUUAUGACUAUAUUUUGCCACAUGACCAAGGGGAAAACUAAGUGGCAGAGGGAACUGAGGAUGCUAAUCAACUGACUAUGUUAGGGAAGUUAUCCUGGUGUGUUUAAGUUAAUCACAGAGGACUUAUAAGCGGGGAGGGGAGGCAGAAAGAGGUCGAAAUGAUAUUAUACAACCACUCAUCUUUGCCAUCUUGAAGGUGGAGGAAGGGGUCUUGAGCCACCUAUAGAAGGUAGAAAAGGCAAGGAAAUGGAAACUGCCCAGAGCUUCCAGCAGGAUUGCAACCCUAACAAUGCCUUGAUUUUAGCCUGGUGAGAUCUGUGUCAUACUUCUGACCUGCACGGCUGUACGAAAAUACAUCAGUGUAGAAGUUACUACGUUUGUGAUAAUUGGUUACAGCAGUCAAGAAAAUGAAUGCAUUUUGUUGGUUCUCCAAUCAUGCUCACAGUUUGUCUAGUUAAAUCCUUUUGGGGCCUCCCCAUUGGCUCAGCGGGUUGAGCCAGUGCUGUGAAG